rnacentral:piRNA from 1 species
AAUAACUAAAGUGAAAGUGACUGU